CAGUCGCCGCGGUAAUACGUAGGUGGCGAGCGUUGUCCGGAAUCAUUGGGCGUAAAGGGAGCGCAGGCGGGCAUGUAAGUCUUUCUUAAAAGUUCGGGGCUCAACCCCGUGAUGGGAAAGAAACUAUAUGUCUUGAGUACAGGAGAGGAAAGCGGAAUUCCCAGUGUAGCGGUGAAAUGCGUAGAUAUUGGGAGGAACACCAGUGGCGAAGGCGGCUUUCUGGACUGCAACUGACGCUGAGGCUCGAAAGCCAGGGGAGCGAACGGGAUUAGAUACCCGUGUAGUCCCUGUCUCUUAUACA
rnacentral:rRNA from 1 species